rnacentral:rRNA from 1 species
CCUACGGGUGGCAGCAGUGGGGAAUAUUGCACAAUGGAGGGAACCCUGAUGCAGCGACGCCGCGUGAGUGAAGAAGUAUUUCGGUAUGUAAAGCUCUAUCAGCAGGGAAGAAAAUGACGGUACCUGAAAAAGAAGCUCCGGCUAAAUACGUGCCAGCAGCCGCGGUAAUACGUAGGGAGCAAGCGUUAUCCGGAUUUACUGGGUGUAAAGGGAGAGUAGGUGGCAGAGCAAGUCAGGAGUGAAAACCCAAGGCUCAACCAUGGGACUGCUUUAGAAACUGCGCAGCGAGAGUGCAGGAGAGGUAAGUGGAAUUCUUAGUGUAGCGGUGAAAUGCGUAGAUAUUAGGAGGAACACCAGUGGCGAAGGCGGCUUGCUGGACUGUAACUGACACUGAGGCUCGAAAGCGUGGGGAGCAAACAGGAUUAGAUACCCCGGUAGUC